rnacentral:rRNA from 1 species
CCUACGGGGGGCAGCAGUAGGGAAUCUUCCACAAUGGGCGCAAGCCUGAUGGAGCAACACCGCGUGAGUGAAGAAGGGUUUCGGCUCGUAAAGCUCUGUUGUUGGAGAAGAACGUGCGUGAGAGUAACUGUUCACGCAGUGACGGUAUCCAACCAGAAAGUCACGGCUAACUACGUGCCAGCAGCCGCGGUAAUACGGAGGUGGGAAGCGUUAUCCGGAUUUAUUGGGCGUAAAGCGAGCGCAGGCGGUUGCUUAGGUCUGAUGUGAAAGCCUUCGGCUUAACCGAAGAAGUGCAUCGGAAACCGGGGAACUUGAGUGCAGAAGAGGACAGUGGAACUCCAUGUGUAGCGGUGGAAUGCGUAGAUAUAUGGAAGAACACCAGUGGCGAAGGCGGCUGUCUGGUCUGCAACUGACGCUGAGGCUCGAAAGCAUGGGUAGCGAACAGGAUUAGAUACCCCGGUAGUC